UUUUAUGAUGAUUUUUUUUACUAUUAAUAACUUUCGUUCUACUGACUGCGAUCAAACGAUCUUGUAGAGAACUUUUAAUCUGAUC
rnacentral:snoRNA from 1 species